rnacentral:siRNA from 1 species
CUUUACAAUUGUUGAAUGUCAA